AAGAAGCUCCUGUUCUAGAACUAUAGGAUGUAAGCAGAAGGACCUUCAUCUACUCCAACCAAUUGCUACGGAAUCCAAUUUGAACACAGUGACUGGCCAGCCAAGGAAAAGUACAAGGUAGCAAUGAGGUUGGGAAGUUAGCCUGCCAUCCCCAGUUGGACUACCUGUCCUGGAAAAGAGAAUUUUAACUUCUAGGGAAACUAAUCAGAUACCACACUGACUUUUUUAGAGGUGAAAGGGGGAAUGGGGCAGGGGAAUGAAAAAUAAUACAGCAGAACUGAUCUCAACUCAACCAAUGGGGUCGGGUUGUUAAUGUGGUUUCCAGCAAACUGCUCAUAAAAUUCAU
rnacentral:lncRNA from 1 species